rnacentral:rRNA from 1 species
GUGACAGGGAUUAGAUACCCCAUUAAUUCAAGUGAUAAAUUAUGGCUUAUUGUAGAUUGGAUCUAUUUUUAACAAAUCAAGGUUCUUAACCUAAGGAGUACGCUUUCACUUGUGAAACUUAAAUGUUCUGGUGGUGGUUUCGAACAAUAGUGGAAUAGAUGAUUUAAUUCGAUGUUAUGCGAUAAAGCUUAUCAGUUAUCUGAAAGAAUACCUAGGUAUAGGUAGAAUUCUAUUUUAGGUAGUGCAUGGCUGUUGGAGGGGAAUGUUUUGUAAUCUCUGGUUUCGGACAGGAAUAGGCUCAACACUUUUAGAGUUCUGAAGGUUAGAUAGAAUAACGUCGAGUCAUUAUGCUCUUUUGUUCAGAGAUAUUCAUGUGUUACAAGGAGAGCUAUAUAGCUACUUAUUUUUGAGUGUUACAAAUAUUAUCAUCCUAAUUGAAAAUUGAAAUGUUUUUAUAAAGGAGGAAUUAUUAGGAAUCUUUGGUUAGUUAUUUAAAGGUGGACAGGAGAUAAAUUUUGCACAUACCGCCCGUCAAGCAAAAAGCAGAGAUAUAGAUGAAAACAGCAAAGCACACAAGUGUAAAAUUUAUAAUACAUUUGUGUUAAGUCGAAACAUGGUUGCUCAUCAGGAAUGAUGAGCUGGA